rnacentral:lncRNA from 1 species
UCUUUUCCUGCUAUGAGCAUUUUUCAAUAUUUUUAAAGUUGAUCGGAUUGACUGAUUGAACCGAUUAGACAGUGACUAAUCCGAAUUGAUUAAGAUGAUACAAUUAAAAUUUAGCUAGUUAAAUCGGUAUUUAUUAUAAAUAAACUUUAGGGCUAAAUAUAAAGAAAUAUUUUAUAGUUUAAUUGUUUUAUAAUUUUUAAU